rnacentral:lncRNA from 1 species
UUCUGUUUUAUUUUUACCUAUUGUUGUUUUAUUUGUUUUUUUAGAUCUAUGAGUUUUGAGAAGACCUGGUACGUGAAGCAUAUGUUGGAGAGAAGAGUCUUCAUUCAUCUCUUUUAUUUUUUUCACAUACAAUAGCUAUUGUGAAGUCGUGAUAACCUCAAUAUCACUCUUACCACCGUCCAGCAUAAAAUGUAUGUCAUGUUUUUUCCAACUCAUCUUGUGUCUACUGCAUGCGUUUCUU